UACGGAGGGUGCAAGCGUUAAUCGGAAUUACUGGGCGUAAAGCGUGCGCAGGCGGUUUUGUAAGUCUGAUGUGAAAGCCCCGGGCUCAACCUGGGAAUUGCGAUGGAGACUGCAAGGCUUGAAUCUGGCAGAGGGGGGUAGAAUUCCACGUGUAGCAGUGAAAUGCGUAGAGAUGUGGAGGAACACCGAUGGCGAAGGCAGCCCCCUGGGUCAAGAUUGACGCUCAUGCACGAAAGCGUGGGGAGCAAACAGG
rnacentral:rRNA from 1 species